AUUGUGAACCUUACUCGCACUUUACUCCGGCAAGUGCUGAAGUGAAGAGUGAAGACACAAAUUUCCAAAAUGUCUUUUGUUCAGAAAAUCUACCAUGGUAUGUUCAAGAAAACGUCAAGUUUCCUUGCAGUAAUCGUAAUUGGUGCCUUUGCUGCUGAAGCACUCACUGAAAGUGCUGCCAAUUAUUUAUGGGAGUCCAAUAAUCAGGGGAAGCUGUAUCAUCAUGUGAAGCAUGAAUUUGGGUCAUUCAACGAGGAUGCAGAAUGAGGAACCUUUCAACUCCUUUUGGACCUGCUGCUGCAGCAUCACCACAGCAGUGGAUGUACUGUGCUGGCAUGGAAGUCUACACACUUUUUUUAACCAUGUAAAAAUAUUACAACUUGGGAUUUUUUGUUAGUUCAGUUUUCUUGUUUUAGUCUGCUUGUAGAAUAAAUUCCUGUUCACUAUCUUCAAGCUAGAAGCCUAUACAAUUUUCAUAUUGAUUUGAAUCUAUGGGUAUAUAUACACUUUUCUCCUAAACCAUAAAAUGCAAUCAAUUUUUUUUUAUUUAAAUAAAAUAUGUAAUUAAAUAUGUCAUUCACCUCAUUUUGGCACACACAUGAAUCAUCCAUAUUAUUUUGUUUCUGUAUAUAGCCAUCGUGUUGGUUUCGAUUGCCUAAUACAGAUUUUAUGACG
rnacentral:lncRNA from 1 species